rnacentral:rRNA from 1 species
CCGUGCCAACGGGCGGCUAAUGCCGGAUAUCGUGGCGAGUCCCCUGACUCGUUGACGAAAGAUUUAUCGUUACAGGAUGAGCUUGCGUCUGAUUAGCUAGUUGGCGGGGUAACGGCCCACCAAGGCGACGAUCAGUAGCCGGCCUGAGAGGGUGAUCGGCCACAUUGGGACUGAGAUACGGCCCAGACUCCUACGGGAGGCAGCAGUAGGGAAUAUUGCGCAAUGGGGGAAACCCUGACGCAGCAACUCCACGUGUGGGAUGAAGCAUUUCGGUGUGUAAACCACUGUCGAGAGGGAAUAAUGUUUCGCUUCGGCGGAAUUGAAUGUACCUCCAAAGGAAGCACCGGCAAACUUCGUGCCAGCAGCCGCGGUAAUACGAGGGGUGCAAGCGUUGUUCGGAAUCACUGGGCGUAAAGGGAGCGUAGGCGGAAUGUCAAGCAUGCUGUAUAAUCCCGGGGCCCAACCCCGGUUCUGCAGUUUGGACUGUUAUUCUUGAGUUAUUCAGAGGCAAGCGGAAUUCCUGGUGUAGCGGUGGAAUGCGUAGAUAUCAGGAAGAACACCAAUGGCGAAGGCAGCUUGCUGGGGAUAAACUGACGCUGAGGCUCGAAAGCGUGGGUAGCAAACAGGAUUAGAUACCCUGGUAGUCCACGCUGUAAACGAUGUAUACUAGGUGUCCGGGAGCAAUUUCGGGGUACCGCAGCUAACGCGCUAAGUAUACCGCCUGGGGAGUACGUACGCAAGUAUGAAACUCAAAGGAAUCGACGGGGGCCCGCACGAGCGGUGGAGCAUGUGGUUUAAUUCGAAGCAACGCGCAGAACCUUACCAGGGUUUGACAUGGGAACACCGCGGCGAGAGAU